CAAUAGCGUAUAUUAAAGUUGUUGCAGUUAAAAAGCUCGUAGUUGAACUUCAGACCUGGCCGGGCGGUCUACCUCGCGGUAUGUACUAUCUGGCCGGGUCUUACCUCUUGGUGAGCCGGUAUGCCCUUCACUGGGUGUGCCGGGGAACCAGGACCUUUACCUUGAGAAAAUUAGAGUGUUCAAAGCAGGCCUAUGCCCGAAUACAUUAGCAUGGAAUAAUAAAAUAGGACGUGCGGUUCUAUUUUGUUGGUUUCUAGAGUCGCCGUAAUGAUUAAUAGGGAUAGUUGGGGGCAUUCGUAUUCAGUUGCUAGAGGUGAAAUUCUUGGAUUUACUGAAGACGAACUAUUGCGAAAGCAUUUGCCAAGGAUGUUUUCAUUAA
rnacentral:rRNA from 1 species